rnacentral:rRNA from 1 species
GACAGAGGAUGCAAGCGUUAUCCGGAAUGAUUGGGCGUAAAGCGUCUGUAGGUGGCUUUUUAAGUCCGCCGUCAAAUCCCAGGGCUCAACCCUGGACAGGCGGUGGAAACUACCAAGCUGGAGUACGGUAGGGGCAGAGGGAAUUUCCAGUGGAGCGGUGAAAUGCGUAGAGAUUGGAAAGAACACCAAUGGCGAAAGCACUUUACUGGGCUAUCACUGACACUGAGAGACGAAAGCUAGGGGAGCGAAUGGG